GGGCGGGCGCUCAGACCACCCUCUCAGACCACCCCGGCCCUUCCUUCCAAUCACAGCAGAGCCCAGACCUCCGCCCCGCCCCCUUCAGUCCCUGCUCUGCCUGGGACAAAAGUAACCGCCCUCUUUUCACCUGGGCGCCUCCAUCUCUGAGCAGAAAGGUGGGCCUGAGAACACUUGGCCUAUGGGCUGACCCUAAGCUGUGGCUGGGUUGGCGCGGGCCCAUUGUGUCCACAGCUGCAGCCAUUAUUGGCUCCUGCCUUUCCUGGCCGGCAGUGGGCUUGUGACCCAGGGCUCCAGCCGCCCAGGCUCACCCAUGCCUGAGGGCAAUCAGCCCACGUUUUCUGUCUCCCCAGGAGAGUUGGGUUCUGGACUGCUGGUCCCUAGGCAGCGGAGGGGCCCCACCAGACCUGAGUUCCAACGGGACCCCAGACACUGCACAAGGAAUAAUGAUUGCCAAAGAUGGAAGCUGAACCUUGACUCCCACAUCUUGAGUAGAGAUGCAGAAUGAAACCUAUACCUUCAGACAAGCCCAAUGUUGCUGAACUGUUUAGCUCAACUAUAUAUAGAUGUUAAAAGACAAGGCUUUUGGAGGAAAAGGGGAAGAAAAGCCCAAGGAUGAGAGCAGAGGAAGGUUAGAGUGAGGCUGAAGAAAGAAAAGGUCACUGACAAAAUAUGUUUCAAAACAGAUCAAAGGGAGCUGAAAAAUUGGUAAGCACAACAUCUGUGUCUUCACAGAAGUCACUGAUAAAAAUAUUCAAGCAGUCUAAGAACUUGGAGCACUCCCUUGAAGAUCUUUCUCACUGAAAUUAAAUCACUAAUAAUGA